rnacentral:lncRNA from 1 species
CUCCGGACUUACCAUUAUGCCUUGUACCAACACAUUUCCCUACCUUGAAUCCUAACUCCAACUCCACAUCCACCCUAACCCCACCUCCCAUGACUCUUUCUUUACCCUCAAAUCUCACUCACUCUCUUACCCCGGAUUCAACCAGCUCUAGCCCUGCCCUUCACCUCUGCCGUUGCCCGUGCCCCCACCAAUAAAAUCUUGACCUCUUCCCCUGUGCAGUUGGCUCCUUCUUAAUUAAAUGUCCUCUGCCCUCCCUGGAAGCCUUGAGCUCCCAUGUGCUUUGAGAUUCUGCUUCCAUCCUAGGCCUGGAAGCAGCCCAGGGAGGGAGGAGGGCUCCCCCAUUGAAAAUCUCAACAGGGGCCAUCCCAGGCUGCGGAUCUCCAGGGAUUUCCUGGACUCCUUCCUCCACUCCCACUCACGCUGGCCCCAGGGAUCCUCAGUUGUUAGAAGAGCUGUGGAGAGGGAUUCUGGGCAGGCGCUGUCUCAGACCAGAGUGGCUGUGGGAGGCUCCUCCCUGGUUAGUUUACUUUACACCCCCUCCGAAAGCGAGGACUCCCUCGUCUCCCCUGAUCUCUGUCUGCUCCCAACUCAAGCAUGAAAAUGACUUUUCCACAUGCUGGGCCUUCCCCCAUCCCCUCGCACACACUCACACUAUGCUCAGAAGCUUCCAGAAUCCCAAACCCGCCCCAAAGCUGCCACUUUGCAAAGGCUUCCUCUAAAGCCACAUCUGUCCCAGAGAGACCCCCGAAAGUGGAGGAAAGGGGUCGGCUGGCUGGAGUUGGGGCCCGGAGGCUGCCCAGAUCAGGAGGAAUGGGUGAGGGCUGAGGUCCCAACGGGAUGGUCAGAACCCUCUCCCCGCACCUCCCUCCUGCUUUUACCCCCACCCUCCCGCUUCCCCUCCCCCCCCCACCCCUCCCCUUCUCGUACCCUUCAGGCCUCCGAGGGAGGGUCAGCUCUGCCGGCUCAAGUUACAAGAACUUGAAGACAGGAAGAUUUAGCGAGGGAGCCGCGGCCAAGCACAGUGCGCUGUUUGUCCGCCUUUGAAACCAGAGGCUGCGAGGCGGGGGCCGGCGCCCCCUCCCCACAGCCCCGGCGAGUUCCUGGACGGGCGCGCGCAAGCACAGCGACCCCUACCGGCUCCUCCACUCUCCCCAGCCACCUCCUCCAGGAAGCUCGCUCGGGCUUCCGGGACCUGGAAGAGUCCUGUAGAGACUGUCUGAGAGAUGCUUUUGGCCUCCCAGACAUUUUGUCCUUGGGUCCUCACUAAUACAUCACGAGGUCUCUUCACUUGAACCAGUUGGGGGUAAACUUCGUUUCCCGUCGUGACCCUGCCUGAUACAGCACCUUCUGCCCAGGCCACAAAACAAGCCAUGGCCAGCGGGAGGCCAAGGGACAAGAGAGAGAUUGCCAGAGGGCAGAAACACACAGGACAAAAUGGGGCAGAGAAGCAGAAACAGGGAGAGAUUAAAAAGGCAAAGGCUGGCCGGGCGCUGUGGCUCAUGCCUGUAAUCUCAACAUUUUGGGAGGCCUGAAGGAGGUGGAUCACUUGAGCCCAAGAGUUUGAGAUCAGCCUGGGCAACAUAGCAAGACCCCGUCUCUGCAAAAAAAAAUUAAAAAAUUUAGCUAGGCAUGAUGGUUCACCCCUCUGAUUGCCUGAUUGCUUAAGUUCCAGGCUGCAGUGAGCUGCGAUUGCACCAUUGUACUCUGGCCUGGGCAACAGAGCCAGAUCCUGUCUCUAAAAAUAAAUAAAUAGAUAAAUAUAUAAGACAAUGACCAUCAUCUUUCUUCAUAGCCAAGAACCCUCAGCUUCGAGAGAUGAACUUUAAGGACCUCCUCCUCCCCAGGAAGGGAGAUAUGGAGCUCAUUACAAACCAGAGCCCAGAGCCCCACUUUACACCUGCAGGUUCAGUAACUAGAGAAUCAGGGACCCAGAGUCUGCAUU